rnacentral:ncRNA from 2 species
CAGGGCGAUGCGGGAGAGCCCAGCCCGGCGCGAUGCGCCGGGCAUGGCGCCGACGGAGCAACCACCCCCGGAAACUCUCAGGCACAAUCACCGCAUCGUUGGA